AUCAGCAUUGGAUGUACUGCAGAAACAUUAUCUUUAAAUUCAUAUUCAUUGGGACUGUAAAACCCUUCCCUUUUCAUGCUGAAGACAAGGGGAUACUCAACCUAAUCAAGAAAUGAUGGAAAUGAAAAAGGAGAUUCUGAGGACCACCCUUUGUGUUUUCUUUGUGGUGACAGUAUCUUAUUCAAAACCAGUCAGUCUGCAUGGAUUCCAGUUCAGAAACCUGAUGGCUGACAGCCUGGAAUCUUCAGAGUCUUCUGAGUCCAACGAGUCUUCUGAGAACAUUGGCGUAGCACCACAGACACCCAAUGGUCAGCCAAUGGUCACUGGCGCUGAGACUGCAAUACCAGACACAGAGGAGGAGACCGAUCCACAAGAAAGCGAUGCUAUACCCUCUGAAACAGCCUCAGAGGUUGAUGAUGCUUUGAUCGCUUCACAAACUGCACUUGGAACUGAAGCCUCAUUGGCAGACUCACUAAAUGGGACAGAAACUGAGACUACCUCACAACAUCCAGCCAUAAUCACAGUGACUGAUUCUCCCAGUCUGACUUCUGAUGUCAUAACCCAUAUAAGGUCUAUGCUCACGACGGCUCUUCCAUCAAUCAUUGACACAGCUACAAUCCAAGAAUUCCAUGUGGGCACAACUCUUCCCCCGAGCCCAUACCCCAUACCCAUUAUGGAGCAGCCAACAACUCCACCAGUCUCCUCAGUACCAGGCCUAACUCCCCAGCAGCCAGUUCAAUUGGGAAGCACUGAUGACAUAUCUGCUGUGCCAGGUUGUUUUACUGUAGUAUACAUAACUAGCCCUCAGCCAGUUCCUGCUAGAGGCGAUAACAUUUAAAGCUGAGAGGAAACUAGAAUAUCUUUGAUUAAAGCUGGAAUCCGAAGUAGAGGGAAACAGCGCCACUGGCCACGGUUGUUAUUGUUUUUGUUGUCGAGCUUAGGAGCGUUGUCGCGCAGGAUGGUAAAAAUGUUUGCAUGUAUUGCCGUGUAAUGAUGUCCAAGGCGAAAAAAAUUGUAUUUUCUGUUAGCAGUAACUUCUUUGUUGUUGUAAUGUUUCACCAUUAAGGAUUCUAGCUUUAAAGGUCAAAUGCAGCCAUUUUUAUCUCAAUAUCAAAUCAUUUCUGGGCAACAAUUAAGUACUUUCCUGUCAGUCACUUGCACAUCCUUGUUGCAGUUUAAUAAGAUGACAGCUCUGACGAAGGCCCUGAGGCCGAUACGUAAACCUUAAUAAAGAGCAGUGAUACUAGCAAGAGCAGUGUGUGGGUUUCUUAUUUUUUCUCCAAUUAAAAUGGUCAAAAAGAAACAAAAAUAUAUUCUUAGUAAAGAGCAAUUUCUCAAGCAAAAAUGUUGCUAGGACUGUCUGGUAGUGGUCUGAGUGGGGAGGUGAAAACGGAACAUUUGCUGUUAUGGGCAAGAGAGGUUUGGAACUUUCUUUCUUAUUGGUCUAUUAACUCAUUUACUAAAACCCCAUCCCAUUAAAACAGGCUAAGAUUUCAGGCAGUCUUUUCAAACAGCUCUUAAGCUAAAAGGGCAUUAUCAUAAUUUUCACAAUUUUACACAAUUUUAAUUUGUCUUAGUGAGCUGCACAUUGCUGACGCCUACAUUAGUGCUUUGUGAGCUGGAGGGCCUGCAACUGGCAAGAACACUCAUGAAAAUGAUUCACUAGUAUCUUCUGCACGAUAUCAGUGAUAAAGAUUCAGAUAUACCGUACCUCAUAUUGCUCAGUCUUUCAUAAAACAAUCUUCAAGAUAUUUGGUGGUAGGUAGUGGUUAGAGCGUAGGACUAGUAACAGGAAGGUUGCAAGAUCAAAUCCCUGAGCUGACAAGGUAAAAUCUGUUGUUCUGCUCCUGAACAAGGCAGUUAACCCACUGUUCCUAACUGACUUGCCUAGGUAAAUAAAGGUAAAAUACACUU